rnacentral:rRNA from 1 species
GACGAACGCUGGCGGCGUGCUUAACACGUGCAAGUCGAACGGAAAGGCCCUGCUUUUGUGGGGUGCUCGAGUGGCGAACGGGUGAGUAACACGUGAGUAACCUGCCCUUGACUUUGGGAUAACUUCAGGAAACUGGGGCUAAUACCGGAUAGGAGCUCCUGCUGCAUGGUGGGGGUUGGAAAGUUUCGGCGGUUGGGGAUGGACUCGCGGCUUAUCAGCUUGUUGGUGGGGUAGUGGCUUACCAAGGCUUUGACGGGUAGCCGGCCUGAGAGGGUGACCGGGCAACAUUGGGCCGGAGAUCAGGCCGGGACUCCCGCGGGGGCCGCAGGGGGGAAUUUGGGAAAAGGGGGGGGAGCCCGAAGCCAGCACCCCCGGGGGGGGAAGGAGGGCUUUGGGUUUGAAACCCCUUUUCGCCUGUGAAGAAGGGGGAGUGGGGGAAGGGUGUAGAGAGACCCGGGCAAGCUAGGUC